UCCCGGUACUAACUGAUGGUUAUUUGUUUGUUUCAAGUUUAGGGCACUCGGAGAGAAUCUGAUUGGUCCAGUUCAUCUUUCAAAGUAGUCUGCACCUCCCUCUUCAGCAUAUGGGUUGUCUGCCUUUGGCUCAGGUGCCCUGCCAGGGCCAAUCAUCUAUGGAUAGAGGAAGUGGGGCACUGGGUACUGAGUAUGGCUUCCUGGGCCUGUCCCUUCAGCAGAAAGUGUGGGCAGGAUGGGUACCCUCAGAAGAGGCUGUAGGUGGGUUGGCACAGUGUUGACCUUUCCACAAUAUCAUUGUGCAAGACACUGAUGUCAUAUAGCCAAGACAUAUAGUGGUGUAUCAAGGUUUGAGAACGGGAAGAGAUGAAGCGGGAGGAGGAGUCAGACAGCCCUGAUCUGCCACAACUGUGGCUCCUCUUCAUAGGCAACCAGGAGCUGAGAAGACCUCAUUCAUGCUGAGAUUGUCCUGUCUUCAAGAGAAAGUGAGUCUAAUAUGCCGCUCUGCAAAUAUGGCUAACUGCACUCUGCAUCUUCCCACCCCAUGCUUGCUCAAACGUCCUUCAGCAUGCUCCUGAGUUGUUGGAAUCUUGAGUAUUAAAUUCUCAAAUGG